rnacentral:lncRNA from 1 species
GCCUGGGUUCCAGACAGCGGCCAUCCACGCAGGGCGCUGCCAAGCCGCGGAAAGUGGACCGUGGAAACGGCCUCUCCAACUCUGACAAGGGUGGAUCCCCGCCUCAGCUCAGCCCCGGAGUCAGACCCCAGAAGUCGUCGCCCAGGGGCCCCACGAUCGCCCCUACGCAGGCAGGGACUUGCAAAGCGCUCCUGGGCGAACUGUGGAGGGGCAGGGGCAGAAACCUACCUGGCCGCGGAGCUGGAGGCGGUGGCUGUUCCUCGCCCCUGCUUUCCCAGCGGGAUGCCGAACAGCAGAAGUGAAGCUCGCUUGGGAAUCUCGUCGCGGAAAUCGACGGUGAAAUCCGGAACAGAAACCCAGCGCAGGGGAAGAAGCCCACCACAGGCCUGGGCUGAAACUGGCGCUCUCACAUCUGGUGUCUCUCCUGCACUCCAGACUUCCGCCGCACGCUUCUUAAAAAGGGGCCAUUGAACGCUACAGCCGGAGCCUGGAGUCAGAGACGGACCUUUCAGCAUUUUUUCUGUCCCCAGCACGGCUACUCCUUAAGCUCCUCAUGUCCGGAUCAAGUCUCAUUUCUCCAUGGAAAACCACAGUUGCACAUGGAAGAUCGUGCCUUUCACUACAGAGAUUUAUUAGAGACCAGUGACUUCAAGUGUUCCUCCCUGCACUCAAUCUAAAAC